rnacentral:rRNA from 1 species
GACGAACGCUGGCGGCGUGCUUAACACAUGCAAGUCGAGCGAAUGGAUUAAGAGCUUGCUCUUAUGAAGUUAGCGGCGGACGGGUGAGUAACACGUGGGUAACCUGCCCAUAAGACUGGGAUAACUCCGGGAAACCGGGGCUAAUACCGGAUAACAUUUUGAACCGCAUGGUUCGAAAUUGAAAGGCGGCUUCGGCGGUCACUUAUGGAUGGACCCGCUUCGCAUUAGCUAGUUGGUGAGGUAACGGCUCACCAAGGCAACGAUGCGUAGCCGACCUGAGAGGGUGAUCGGCCACACUGGGACUGAGACACGGCCCAGACUCCUACGGGAGGCAGCAGUAGGGAAUCUUCCGCAAUGGACGAAAGUCUGACGGAGCAACGCCGCGUGAGUGAUGAAGGCUUUCGGGUCGUAAAACUCUGUUGUUAGGGAAGAACAAGUGCUAGUUGAAUAAGCUGGCACCUUGACGGUACCUAACCAGAAAGCCACGGCUAACUACGUGCCAGCCGCCGCUGUAA